rnacentral:rRNA from 1 species
UACAGAGGGGGCAAGCGUUGUUCGGAAUUACUGGGCGUAAAGGGCGCGUAGGCGGCCUUCUAAGUCGAACGUGAAAUCCCCGGGCUCAACCCGGGAACUGCGUCCGAUACUGGAAGGCUUGAAUCCGGGAGAGGGAUGCGGAAUUCCAGGUGUAGCGGUGAAAUGCGUAGAUAUCGGGAGGAACACCAGUGGCGAAGGCGGCUUUCUGGCCUGUUCUUGACGCUGAGGCGCGAAAGCCAGGGGAGCAAAGCGGG